rnacentral:lncRNA from 1 species
GAUAAGCAAAAUUAAUGAAUUUAAUCCAAAAUAAUAGUACUCAUGUUCUUGGAUUUAACCAAGGAAAAAGGAUUUUUAGCUGAUAAUAUUCAUAAUCAUGAUCCAAUUAAUUGAAUACAUGAUAUGAAAAAUUAAACACUAAUUAAAGAAUCAAAAACCUAAUAAAAAAUAUGUGGCAGCCACCGAAAUUACUCCACUAUCAUGUCCAGCAGUUCUCUUGUACGUGUCCACACUUUUCAUCAUGUUCCAUGGUAUCUUCUGUUUGUAUUUAUAAUAUAUCAUAGGCCUAAUCAUAGUGGAUUAAGAAAUGGGAACGUCAUCCAAGAAACUCCCAUCAAAGAUUCCUUAAAAUCCCAUGCAAAUUGAAUCAAAUUAGGACUUGAUCAAAAUUUAAUCAGUGCAACAGAUGAUGUAUCGCACGAUGUGUUAAUCCAAAUUGGAUCAUACAACGCAUGCAUAUAGCACGAUUGCACUGGAAUUUCAGUAUUAAAAUUUCUCUAAGUCAAGGGAUCCCUACAAUGGAGGGUGCAAUGCACGCUCAUCGCAUGCACCUGCUGAAAAUUGUGUCCAAAUUUUUGGUUAAGUCUUCAUCAUCCUAUCCUUUGGCCAUGCCUUUUGUAGUGUAUUUUCAAUAAAUUUUUGACCUUUAAAUUAAAAAUAUAUCACCGUAUUUAGAUAACUAAUCCUCC